rnacentral:misc_RNA from 1 species
GUCUAUGUGGAGCAACCACUAGGGCUUGUUGCUCAGGAGAGUCUGGCUUAGUAUGUCGACUACGACGAUCAUUAUAUGGCCUGAAGCAAUCUCUAAGAGCAUAGUUUGGACGAUUUAGUACUAUAAUCCAAUAAUUUGGAAUUUCUCAAAAUGAAGCUGAUCAUUCAGUGUUUUUUCGUCAUAAUGGCCAUAAUAGAUGCAUUUAUUUGGUGGUUUAUGUUGAUGACAUUGUUAUU